CCUACGGGAGGCAGCAGUGGGGAAUAUUGGGCAAUGGGCGCAAGCCUGACCCAGCAACGCCGCGUGAAGGAAGAAGGCUUUCGGGUUGUAAACUUCUUUUGUCAGGGAAGAGUAGAAGACGGUACCUGACGAAUAAGCUACGGCUAAAUACGUGCCAGCAGCCGCGGUCAUACGUAGGUGGCAAGCGUUGUCCGGAUUUACUGAGUGUAAAGGGCGUGUAGCCGGGUUGACAAGUCAGAUGUGAAAUCCUGCGGCUUAACCGCAGAACUGCAUUUGAAACUGUUGAUCUUGAGUACUGGAGAGGCAGACGGAAUGCCUGGUGUAGCGGUGAAAUGCGUAGAGAUUAGGAGGAACGCCAGUGGCGAAGGCGGUCUGCUGGACAGCAACUGACGGUGAGGCGCGAAAGCGUGGGGAGCAAACAGGAUUAGAUACCCGAGUAGUC
rnacentral:rRNA from 1 species